CUUCAGUGUCCAUGCUCACUCCACCAUGUGUCUAUCAGAGAGAGCAAACACUGGUGUCUUUUCCUGGGCGUGACCUGCAGCCAAGGAAGCCUGCCGAGAGGCAACCCUUAAGGCUUUCCGUUGUGAAUGCAAAGGAGCCUGGAGCUCUUCAUGCUGGGUCCAACAGAGGGUACCUGGCUCUCCAAAACGAUCGCCCACUGGUUUAGACAGUGUUCAGUUCUGCCAGCUCCUGAUUCGACAGAAUCUUACUCUCUGGUCAAGUCAUCUUCCAUUCAUGAUCCUCCUGCCUGUGCUCUCAAGCUCUGGGACACCAGGCAUGCAGCACCAUCACAGCUGUCCCAUUUCUUACAGAAGAUGCAUAACCAAUGCCUCCGCUAAUUCAAGUGGUCAGCCCUGGUGACGUCACUCCCUCUGUUCGCGCUUGCAGCCAUUUAUGCUAACAAUUCUGAUCCUGGAAGAUACUCUGCAUGGUCCCAGAAGAGAAAUAUUCAUCAUUGUCACCCAGCUACAAACCCUGCAGCCUAUGACAGUCACCUGCCUGCAGAUACACUGGAGCAAUAGUGACACAAAUGUUAUGGGAGUCACCAACCACUUUCUGAUUGGAUUUAAGGCCUGAUUGGAUUGGAGAUGGAACCCAUAAUGGACGCUGUUAAAAUGGCUAAGAACCUGAGAGUGGGGAGGUCAUGAGCCUAGGGGAAAAACCUACCACUGUGAUCCUGCUAAAGAAGUGCAGCAGGUAAAGGACUCCUGGGGACCUACUUCUAAACCCAGAGGUCAGAUCAGGACUGAUACACACAUCAAAGCCUACAGACUGUGGCAGCUCAC
ensembl:lncRNA